UCCAGGGUAGCCUAGUGGACAUAGCAUCUGCUUUGUAAGCGGAACACUGUGAGUUCGAUUCCAAUUCCUGGAC
rnacentral:tRNA from 1 species